GGUGUCGGAUGCGUACUUUACGAACUGUUCUUAGUCUUUGGAUUCCCCAAAAAACUCCUGUCCGAUCAGGGAAGAGAAUUUAAUAAUGCUGUCGUAGGGGAAAUAACACAAAUACUCAAAAUCACUCACAGACACACCCCUGCCUAUCAUCCCCAGUGUAAUGGCCUUACAGCGAACCAAUCGAACCCGAAGAUGAUGCCCAGAACACUGAUGAAGAAAUGGAGGAAAUAGAGACGUCAGAUCCCUCGACCAGCA